GGAAUAGUUACAGGGGAGAGGAGGGGGAUGAAUGAGCCAAUUGUAAACUGGGGAUUAUUAGGUGACCAUGAUGGUUUGAGGGCCAGAUUGGGAAUUUAGCCAGGACACCAGGGUUAACACCCCUACUCUUACAAUCAGUGCCAUGGGAUCAUAAAUGACCUCAGAGAGUCAGGACACCCGUUUAACGUCCCACCCGAAAGACAGCACCCUACACAGGGCAGUGUUCUCAAUCACUACCCUGUGGAAUUGGGAUAUUUUUUAAGGCCUGAAGAAAGAGUGCCUCCUUCUGGCACUCCAACACCACUUCCAGCAGAAUCUGGUCUCCCAUCCAGGGACUCACCAGGACCAACCCUGCUUAUCUUCAGAAGCAAGCCAACAGUGGUAUGCAGGGUGGUAUGCUGCUGGCUGUGUUAUUACGUUACUUAGAUUGACACACGGAUGUGUCAACAGACUCUUAAGGAAUAAAACGAGAGUUUAGUCCAAGUAACAGGGUUGACCUUAAAAUUACUUUCUUUUUAAACAUUGAAAUGAAUCAUUAAAUAAAUAGUAAAUCAGCAGAAAUGACUGUCAAAGCAACAUAACAUAACUAGGGCUUUACAAUGAUGCUGAACAUUUAGAGACAUUUUGGGGAUAGUGGGUUCAAAUCUUCCGAGUAGUCACAAAAGGCGUACAGAGGGACAUGUCAAAAUGCAACAUUUUGGCACUUUAGCAAGUCUUUAUUCAUAUAAAAAAGCAGAUUUAUUGAAUUUCCAUGUGGUCUCCCACUGGUUGAAUCAACUCACUUUCAACAUAAUUUCAGUGAAAUUACAUUCAACCAAUGUGGAAUAGACAUUGAAUUGACAUCUGUCAAUUCAAUGAAUUGACCAUUUUAUUAAAGGGCACUUCACUUAAUAUAACAGGCUUUUAAAAUUCAAUAUUUGCACACGAUUCCUACUUAAAAUAAUCAAAUGGCACUCAUUUAAUGGAAUGACCCUUAGACUGGCUAGAAUGGUUAGAAUAGGUUGUCAAUAAAGCGUCACAAUACGGUGCAGAGCGUUCGGUAUCAUCACCUCUGGAAGAGCAUAGAACUACAAAUGUCAGAUAAUUCCAUAUUCUGCUGUAUCAGUUAUACAGCAGUAACUGCAUGCUGUUCAUGGUCAUUUCAGAUAUGUGAGGGUAGCCUGACGAUAUCUCUUAACAUUGGCCACCAUUGAUUGGAUAUGUGAGUGUUAUAAAAUAAAAGUGAACUAUAGCUGACAAGAAUGAGUGGUUAAGGUUAAUUUCUUGUCCUUUGCAGGCUCUUCCUGUCAAGCAGCAGAAGGGAACAUUUUACCAAUGUACUGUUAGCUGAUAAUACUUGCAAGCUAUCGGCAUAAACUUGUUACAGGCUAAACAGAGGUAAAUAGACCUAAUGUACUUCUUUCUCAGACCAACGUAGGCCUACCUAGCAAAUUUAGCUAACGUUAUCCACUUUUCAACAUUGUUUUUUAAGAGUGUUUAGUCACGAUUGCUGCUGAUGGAUCACGUCAAAUUGGCUAGCCAGCUAAUAACAGAUCUAACCUAGUGGUUAGAGCGACAGGUGACCUAGUGGUUAGAGCGGCAGGUAGCCUAGUAGUUUGAGCUUUGGGGCGGCAGGUAGCCUAGUGGUUAGAAUGUUGGGAGGCAGGUAGCCUAGUGGAUAGAAUGUUGGGGAGGCAGGUAGCCUAGUAGUUAGAGCAUUGCGGAGGCAUGUAGCCUCGUGGUUAGAGCGUUGGGGAGGCAGGUAGCCUAGUUGUUAGAGCGUUGGGGUGGCAGGUAACCUAGAGCGUUGAGGUGGCAGGUAGCCUAGUGGUUAGAGCAUUGGUGUGGCAGGUAGCCUAGUGGUUAGAGCGUUGGGGAGGCAGGUAACCUAGUGGUUACAGCGUUGGUGUGGCAGGUAACCUAGAGCGUUGGGGCGGCAGGUAGCUUAGUGGUUAGAGCGCUGGGGCGGCAGGUAGGCUAGUGAUUAGAGCGUUGGGGCGGCAGGUAGGCUAGUUGUUAGAGCGUUGGGGAGGCAGUUAAUCUAGUGGUUGGAGCAGCAGGUAGCCUAGUGGUUAGAGAGGCAGGUAACCUAAUGGUUAGAAUGACAGGGCGGCAGGUAGCCUAGUGGUUAGAGCGUUGGGGAGCCAGGUAGCCUAGUGGUUAGAGCGUUGGGGUGACAGGUAAUCUAGUGGUUAGAUCGUUGGGGUGGCAGAUAGCCUAGUGGUUAGAGUGUUGGGGAGGCAGGUAGCCUAGUGGUGAGGGCGUUAGGGAGGCAGGUAGCCUAAUGGUUAAAGCGUUGGGGUGGCAGGUAGCAUAGUGGUUAGAGCGUUGGGGAGGCAGGUAGCCUAGUGGUUAGAUCGUUGUUGUGGCAGAUAGCCUAGAGCGUUGGGGCGGCAGGUAGCCUAGUGGUUAGAGCGGCAGGUAGCCUAGUAAUUAGAGCGUUGGGGCGGCAGGUAGCCUAGUGGUAAGAGCGGCAGGUAGCCUAGUGGUUAUAGCGUUGGGGCGGCAGGUAACCUCGUGGUUAGAGCGGCAGGUAGCCUAGUGGUUAGAGCGAUGUGGCGGCAGGUAGCCUAGUGGUAAGAGCAUUAGGUAGGCAGGUAACAUAGUGGUUAGAGCGGCAGGUAGCCUAGUGGUUAGAGCGGCAGGUAGCCUAGUGGUUAGAGCAGCAGGUAACCUAGUGGUUAGAGCGAUGGGGCGGCAGGUAAUCUAGUGGUUAGAGCGUUGGGGCGGCAGGUAGCCUAGUGGUUAGAACGUUGGGGAGGCAGUUAGCCUAGUGGUUAGAGUGUUGGAGAGUCAGGUAACCUAGUGGUUAGAGCGGCAGGUAAUCUAGUGGUUAGAGCGUUGGGGCGGCAGGUAGCCUAGUGGUUAGAUCGUUGGGGUGGCAGAUAGCCUAGUGGUUACAGUGUUAUAGGGUGGUAGGUAGCCUAGUGGUUCGAGCGUUGGGGAGGCAGGUAACCUAAUGGUUAGAGCAUUGAGGUGGCAGGUAACCUAGUGGUUAGAUCGUUGGUGUGGCAGAUAGCCUAGUGGUUACAGUGUUGGGGAGGCAGGUAACCUAGUGGUUAGAUCGUUGGUGUGGCAGAUAGCCUCGUGGUUACAGUGUUGGGGAGGCAGGUAACUUAGAGCGUUGGGGCGGCAGGUAACCUAGUGGUUAGAGCGGCAGGUAGCCUAGUGGUUAGAGCGUUGGGGAGGCAGGUAGCCUAGUGGUUAGAGCGUUGGGGUGGCAGGUGACCUAGUGGUUAGAGCGUUGGGGAGGCAGGUAGCCUAGUGGUUAGAGGGUUGGGGAGGCAGGUAGCCUAGUGGUUAGAGCGUUGGGGAGGCAGGUAGCCUAGUGGUUAGAGCGUUGGGGAGGCAGGUAGCCUAGUGGUUAGAGUGUAGGGGAGGCAGGUAGCCUAGUGGUUAGAGUAUUGGGGAGGCAGGUAGCCUAGUGGUUAGAGUGUUGGGGAGGCAGGUAGCCUAGUGGUUUAGAGCGUUGGGCCAGUAACCGAAAGGUUGCAUGUUGAAUCCCUGAGCUGCUCCUGAACAAGGCAGUUAACCCACUGUUCCUAGGCUGUCACUGUAAAUAGAACUGACUUGCCUAGUUAAAUAAAGUUCUUAAAAAAAUGUUUAACAAUCCCUUGAAAACUGCACACAGUUGUCAAUGGUUUUAGCAGAGCUGUGGGUCUUCUUGCUCACCAGCAGCCAAAUGGAUUGCUCUGCACCAUAUUAGGUCGUAAUCAAUGAAACGUCACAUGGGGACAAACAUUUGGGACAGAUCAUUAGGAUUCUCAGGUUCCAAAUAUUUUAAAUGUCUCGUGUCAUGUUAGCUCAUACAUAUUCAGAGGUUGCUACAGCCUCUCACCUCAUGUAAUGCAUGUCAAUCACUGGAGUCAAAGACAUGUUGAUUGAGUUGGAAAGAAAGAGUUAUGUUUCUGAUGUCUUAAAACUGUAAAUUAAACUCUAAUAAUAUACAAAUGACAAGAACUGUAUUAUAAUGAGCAAACUGAAUCUAAUUUAAUCUAUGUUAAUGUUUUAGUUCUAAUCCAUGUGAAUUGUUCAAUAUGUGUAUGUUUCAGCAAAGAUAAAAAUAUAUGAGUUUACAUAUGGCUUAAACAAAUGUCAAUUGCUUUCUAUUUUCCAUAAAUGUAUCAAUGUAGAUAUUAAUUGUUCCUUAGUUUUGGUGUUUGCCAGUAACAUCUAUUAAAUGUAGCAACAUUGAUAUUUAUUGCAGAGAUGAAAUGAUUAGACCUAUUGUUUAUUUGCUUAAUCUUGUUUCUAGUUAUUGUUCUGUAAGAUAUGUGCAUUGUGUAACUUAAAUGUUAAUUUAAAACUUUAAUAGGAAUUUAUUUUAUUAAAAUUAAAUGUAAAAAUUGUUUGUAAAAUCUAUUUCGGUUUUUAUGACAUUAAACAUGAAUUGAACUUGGGACAGAGUGCGAUGGAAUUGGUUUGGCUUAAAUAAACUAUGAAAAUUUGUAUUAAUGGAAUAAACGUUUUAAAG
ensembl:lncRNA